UACGUAGGGUGCAAGCGUUGUCCGGAAUUAUUGGGCGUAAAGAGCUCGUAGGCGGUUUGUCGCGUCGAAUGUGAAAUCCCGGGGCUCAACCCCCGGGCCUGCAUUCGAUACGGGCAGACUAGAGUUCGGUAGGGGGAGUCUGGAAUUCCUGGUGUAGCGGUGAAAUGCGCAGAUAUCAGGAGGAACACCGGUGGCGAAGGCGGGACUCUGGGCCGAUACUGACGCUGAGGAGCGAAAGCGUGGGGGAGCAAACAGG
rnacentral:rRNA from 1 species